rnacentral:rRNA from 1 species
GUCUUUUUGUUUAUAAUUUAAAGUCGAAUCUGCCCACUGAUUGAGAAAUUAAAGGGCUGCAGUAAAUUGACUGUACAAAGGUAGCAUAAUCAUUAGUCUUUUAAUUGAAGACUUGUAUGAAAGAUUUGAUGAAAUAUGAGCUGUCUCUUUUUUAUAAUUAAAACUUAAUUUUUUAGUAAAAAAGCUAAAAUUUGUUUAAAAGACGAGAAGACCCUAUAGAGUUUUAUAAUUUAAUUAAUUGUAAUUUUAUAUAAAUUUUAAAUGAAAAUUAAUUAAAUUAUUUUAUUGGGGUGAUAAAAAAAUUAAAUAAACUUUUUUUUUAGUAUAACAUUAAUUAUUGAAUAAAUGAUCCAUAGUUUAUGAUUAAAAGAAAAAAUUACCUUAGGGAUAACAGCGUAAUUUUUUUUUUUAGUUCAAAUAAUAAAAAAAGUUUGCGACCUCGAUGUUGGAUUAAGAUAAAAUUUAAAUGUAGAAGUUUAAAAUUUUUGAUCUGUUCGAUCAUUAAAAUCUUACA